CUUGUGCCUUGGGCACAAGACAGACAUGUGAGGCCCCUGUGAGCCAACAAACCUUGGUCUGGGUGGGACCGGCUGUGAUGCGCCUGAGCCUUGCGGCCUGCAGAGGCGUGGUCUUGUCCAGGCCUUGUCCAGGCCUUGUCCAGCCACAACCCAACCCACAGCCUGAGUGGGAUCCACUGGGGCCUACUUAUUGAAAUUUACAGGGUCAGAGACGUCUGGGGUUAUUCCAGGGUACCUGUGGGGACCUGAUAAAUAUUUGAGGAAUUAAAUGUAAAUCCUUCACAAAUCCAGGCAGAUGGCUGAAUCAGUGGGCAAGACAUCAGUCAGCCUGGAGGGAGUGCACAGAGACAAGUCAGUUCUUUUUAUUAUUAUAUUUCUGGCUGUGCUUCGUUGCUGCCCAGACUUUUCUCUAGUUGCAGAGUGGAGGCUACUCUCUCGCUGCGGUGCACGGGCUUCCCAUUGUGGUGGCUUCUCUUGUUCUGAAGUGCAGGCUCUAGGCUCAUGGGCUUCAGUGCCUGUGGUGCUUGAGCUUAUUUGCACUGUGGCAUGUGGGAUCUUCCCGGCCCAGGGAUCAAACCUGUGUCCUUUGCAUUGUAAGGCAGAUUCUUAUCCCCUGGACCACAAGGGAAGCUCUAUUUGUAGACUUUUGGAUGAUGGCCAUUCUGACCUGUAUGAGGAGAUCCAACCAGUUCAUCCUAGAGGAGACCAGUCCUGGGUGUUCUGAUGCUGAGGCUGAAACUCCAAUACUUUGGCCACUUCAUGCGAAGAGUUGACUCAUUGGAAAAG
ensembl:lncRNA